UGGGCAACCUGCCCUCAGCUCUGGGAUAACUCCAAGAAAUUGGGGCUAAUACCGGAUAUGACCGCUGACCGCAUGGUCUGGUGGUGGAAAGAUUUAUCGGCUGGGGAUGGGCUCGCGGCCUAUCAGCUUGUUGGUGAGGUAAUGGCUCACCAAGGCUUCGACGGGUAGCCGGCCUGAGAGGGUGACCGGCCACACUGGGACUGAGACACGGCCCAGACUCCUACGGGA
rnacentral:rRNA from 1 species